rnacentral:lncRNA from 10 species
GUGUUUCUAAUGGGAAGUCUGCUGUCAUCCUUACCUUUACUCUUGGGUCUAUAACAUGCCUUGUCUCUGGCUACUUUUAAGAUUUUCUCUUAAUCAUUGUUUUUAUUUUAGUUUAGUUUAGUUUUAUUUUUUUUUUGAGACAAAGUCUCACUCUGUCACCCAUCUUGGAGUGCAGUGGCAUGAUCUUGGCUUACUGCAACCUCUGCUUCCCAGGUUCAAGUGAUUCUCCUGCCUCAGCCUCCUGAGUAGCUGGGACUACAGGUGUGUGCUACAACUCUGUUCAAUCUUUGUAUUUUCAGUAGAGAUGGGGUUUCGCCAUGUUGGCCAGGCUGGUCUUUAAUGCCUGACCUCAGGUGAUCCACCCGCCUCAGCCUCCCAAAGUGCUGGGAUUACAGGCGUGAGGCAGCGCACUUGGCCAUUAAUCAUUGUUUUUAAACGAUUCAAUUAUGAUUUGCCUUGGUGUCAUUUUCUUCACAUUGUGUGGGUAUGUGUGUGUCUGUUUGGGGCUUGCUGACAUUGUUGGAUCUGUGGUUUAUAGUUUUCAUGAAACUUGGAGAAAAUUGUACUAUUAUUUCUUUAAAUCCUUCUUUUAGUCCCUUGUUCUCUCAUUUAGGGUCUCCUAUAACCCAUAUAGGUUGUUCCACAGCUCACUGGUGAUCUGUUCAUUUCACAUUGGGGCUUUUUUUCCUGUCUUCUUCGCUUUAGAUAGUUUCUUCUGCUAUGUCAUCAGAUUCACUGAUCUUUUCUUCUGCAGUGCCUGAUUUGCUGUUAAUCUUUUUUUUUUUUUUUUUUUUUUUUGAGAUGGAGUCUCACUCUGUCGCCCAGGCUGGAGUGCAGUGGCGCAGUCUUGACUCACUGCAAGCUCCGCCUCCCAGGUUCACACCAUUCUCCUGCCUCAGCCUCCCGAGUAGCUGGGACUACAGGUGCCCACCACCAAACCCGGCUAAUUUUUUUUUAGUAGAGAUGGGGGGUUUCACUGUGUUAGCCAGGAUGGUCUCGAUCUCCUGACCUGGUGAUCUACCUGCCUUGGCCUCCCAAAGUGCUGGGAUUACAGGCAUAAGCCACUGCGCCCAGCCUGCUGUUAAUCUUAUCCAAUUCUGUGCUUUUUUCUUCUCAGACAUUGUAGUUUUUACCUCCAGAAGUUUAAGUCUUUCUUUCUAAAAUAUCUUUCAGGGCUUUGCUUAACUUUUAGGAUAUAUGAAAUACAGCUCUAAUAACUGUCUUGAUGUCCUUUUCUUCUAAUUUUAGCACCUGUGUCAUUUCUGGGUCAGUUUCAAAGAGCAAAAUUUUCUCCUCAUUUCAAUAAUAUUUUCCUACUUUUUUGCUUAUCUGGUACAUUGUAGUUUUUUUGUUUUUUUUUUUUUCUGGGAUGGAGUCUUGCUCUGUCACCCAGGCUGGAGUGCAGUGGCGUGAUCUCGGCUCACUGCAAGCUCCACCUCCCGGGUUCACGCCAUUCUCCUGCCUCAGCCUCCCGAGUAGCUGUGACUACAGGCACCUGCCACCACACCCGGCUAAGUUUUUGUAUUUUUAGUAGAGACGGGGUUUCACCGUGUUAGCCAGGAUGGUCUCGAUCUCCUGACCUCAUGAUCUGCCUGCCUCAGCCUCUGUAGUUUUUAUAUUUAUAUAAAUGUUCUACAGAUUUGUUCUGGAAUACACUUAAUUACUUGAAUGCAGCUUGAAUCUUUUAGAAAUCCCUUCCUUUUAAAACUUUUAUUUUUUAAUUUUUUGUAGAGACAAGAUCUCACUUUAUUGUCCAGGAUGGUCUUGAACUUCUGAGCUCAGGUGAUGCUCCUGCCUCAGCCUCCCAAAUUGCUGUGAUUACAGGCAUGAGCCACCAUACCUGGCCAGAAAUUCCUUUUAAGCCUUGUUGGGCACAACCAGAGCAGCAUCUGUUAAGAGUUAACUUUGUCCCACCACUGAUGCAAAACCCUCCUAAGUACCAUACCUAAUGUCUGUGAAUUACAAGGUUUUCUACUCUGCCUGAUGGGAUCAGAAAUUAUUCCAAGCUCUCUGUGAGUCCCAGAUACUGUUCCUUCUAAUCAUUUUGGGUGGUUCUUUUCCAUUCUUGAGUAGUUUCUUUUUUUUUUUUUUUUCUUUUUUUUUAAUUAAGACGGAGUCUCACUCUGUCUCUCAGGCUGGAGUGCAGUGGCAUGAUCUUGGCUCACUGCAACCUCCGCCUCCCAGAUUCAAGUGAUUCUUCUGCUUCUGCCUCCCAAGUAGCUGGGACUACAGGUGCAUGCCACCAAGCCUGGCUAAAUUUUUUCAUAUUUUUAGUAGAGACGGGGUUUCCCUAUGUUGGCCAGGCUGGUCUCAAACUCUUGGCCUCAAGUGAUCUGCCCACCUUGGCCUCCCAAAGUGCCGGGAUUACAGGCAUGAGCCACUGUGCCUGGCCCAUUCUUGAGUAGUUUUAUGGCAUGCAUGUACUACACAGUUUUUAGCUAAAGACCCAAGCAUGACCAUCCAUAGAUCUCUGGAAUUCUCUAUCUGUGUGGUUCUCUCCUCUUUGGUACUCUGACCUGCAAACUAGCCACUUUGGUCUCUACAGACACCGAGAUACAUUGCUUCAACUCAAGAAGUCCACUGUGCUUGGGUUUUCCCUUCCUGUGCCACUGUACCAGUACCUGGAAACUCUCCUCAAGCAGUAAUCUAGGGCAACCAUUAGGUCCACCUCAUUUCUUUCCCAUCUCUUGGGGCUCACUGUCCUCCUUUGCUUGAUGUCUAAUGUUUUGAAAACAGUUGUUUUAUAAAUUUUGUCUGCAUUUUUAGCCGUUUCAGGAGGGAGGGGUAAAUACAGUUCCAGUUACUUCAUGUUGGCUGGAAACAGAAACUGUUAUUCCUCAUCAAACAUAUAAUGAAUGGGCUGGGUGCAGUGGCUCACGCCUGGAAUCCCAGCACUUUGGGAGUCCAAGGCGGGUAGAUUACUUGAGGCCAGGAGUUUGAGACAAGCCUGAGCAACAUGGUGAAAACCCACCUCUACAAAAAAUACAAAAAUUAGCCGAGCGUGAUGGUGCACGCCUGUAGUCCCAGCUACUUGGGGAGCUGAGGCAGAAGGGCCAUUUGCACCUGGGAGGUAGUCAAGGCUACCAUGUUCACGCCACUGCAUUCCAGCUUGGGUGACAAAGUGAGACCGUCUCUCAAAAGAAAAAAAAGUCUGGGCAUGGUGGCUCGCACCUGUAAUCCUAGCACUUUGGGAGGCUGAGGCGGGCAGAUCACAAGGUCAAGAGAUAGAGACCAUCCUGGCCAACAUGGUGAAACCCCGUCUCUACGAAAAAUACCAAAAAUUAACUGGGCAUGGUGGUGCACACCUGUAGUCCAGCUACUCGGGAGGCUGAGGCGGGAGGAUCACUUGAACCUGGGGGCAGAGGUUGCGGUGAGCCAAGAUCGUGCCACUGCACUCCAGCCUGACAACAGAGUGAGACUCCAUCUCAAAAAAAAAAAAAGAAAAAAAAAAAAAAGAAAACUUGAAUGAAUGAAUAGAUGAACUGAUUAAUAAAUGAAUACAUUUAUUUCUGUCUGUAUAGAUACACAGUUUCCUAUGUUAUUGUGAUAAUUGCUAUUAUUUAUUUAUUUAUUGAGACAGGGCCUCACAAUGUUGCCCAGAGCUGGAGUGCAGUGGUGCAAUCACGGCUCCUUGCAGCCUUGAUCUCCUGGACUCAAGUGAACCUCCCUGACCAGCCUCCCAAGUAGCUAGGACUACAGGCAUGAGUCACUGUACCUGGCCUCAUUAUUUAUUUUAAUGUUCAAGUUAUCCUCUACUUAAUCAGUAGGUAUAAGAAUCAUUACAUAUAAGAAUGCUUAAUGUAGCAUUUCUCCAAUUCUCCAAUGUACAUUCUCCAAUGUAGCAAAAUUCAUAGACUGAGAGCAAAGGAGGACAGCCUCUAAGGAAAAGCUGGGCGCCAUUAUCAGAAAAAGUAGGGAAGCAACCAAUGAUUAUUUUAGCAAUGAAUAUCCAAAGGACCUAAUAAGAGGCAGAAGUACCCACUUUAUCCUCGGUGAAACAAUGAAUGUGCCUGUGGUGGAUCUGGCGGCAGGCCCGAGCAUCAUGGAAAGAAUGUUAUUUGCAUUUGUCAGAUAAAGCAAAACCCAGGAGAUCCCAGAGACCACACAGAAGUCUAGGAGAAUCCAAUUCUUGCUGACAGUCAUGAUAUUAACAAACAGGGUAAGAAACUGGAGAACAACGAUGCUUGUUGUCACGUCAUUUAACUCCUUGGAAGAAAGACAAGGUUCAUCUUUUUUUUUUUCUUUUUUUUUUUUUUUUUUUGAGAAGGAGUUUUGUUCUGUCACCCAGGCUGGAGUGCAAUGGUGCCACCUCGGCUCACUACAACCUCUGCCACCUGGGUUCAAGCAAUUCUCCUGCCUCAGCCUCCCAAGUAGCUGGAUUAUAGGCGCGUGCCACCACCCCCAGCUAAUUUUAUAUUUUUAGUAUUUUUAGUAGAGACAGGGUUUCCCAUGUUGGCCAGGCUGGUCUCGAACUCCUGAUCCCUGGUGAUCCACCCACCUCAGCCUCCCAAAGUGCUGGGACUACAGGCAUGUGCCCCCACGGCCUGCCUGUUCAUUCUUCGUAUUCAACAAAUAUGAAUUCCAAACUUAAUACUUCCCAGGCACUACUCUAGGUACUGGAGAAUACAACACUGAAUGCAGCAGACAAGUCUCCACUCCCAGAAGCCUUCUCUGCUGGCAGUGCCUGGAUAAAAUGAGUUAUCUCACGAGAGCAUGUGAGAUUCCAGCCCUAAAUGCUCAAGGCGUUCUUUUCAGAGGACUGUGUUUCCACCUGAAUAGGAGGGGGCAGGAAUGAUAGCUAUAUUUCUAUUGGUACUUGACUCACAUCUGUAUUCUUAUGAGAUCCAGAGCAUUUCAGGGAAGGCUUACCAAGGGAGGUAGCAUUUGAACUGGGCUUUGAAGCAGGAGUUUGUUAGGUAGACAUAAUAGGAGAGGACUUCCAUUCAGAGGAAAUAACAUGUUCAAGUCAUAGAGGCUUUGAAAAACACAAUAAACUAGUAAUAAUUCACUAUUGCUGAAGCACAAUAUAGGGAUUGUCAGAAAUAUGCCAGGUUAGGUAGCAAGAGUUCUUGAAGAAUCUUUUACGCUACACAAGGGGUUUCAGGUAUAAUUCUAUAGAAUGUAGCCAUUCAAGAAUUCAUAGCACCAGCAGGACCUUAUCAGAUUAACUAGUUAGAAAGACCUCUUUGGUGGUGAUGUGGAUUUCUGGAUUGAGAGAGAUAAGCAGGCUGGGUGCAGUAGCUCACACCUGUAAUCCCAGCACUUUGGGAGGCUGAGGCGGGCGGAUCACCUGAGGUCAGGAGUUUGAGACCAGCCUGUCCAAUAUGGUGAAACUGCGUCUCUACUAAAAAUACAAAAAUUAGCCGGGCAUGGUGGUGGGUGUCUGUAAUCCCAGCUACUCAAGAGGCUGAGGCAGGAGAAUUGCUUGAACCCAGGAGGCGGAGGUUGCAGUGAGCCGAGAUCGCACCACUGUACUCCAGCCUGGGUGACAGAGCAAGACUCUGUCUCCAAAAAAAAAAAAAGAAAAGAAAAAGGAAAAAAAGAGAUAAGCAGACUAUGGAAAAUUAUUUAUUCAUUUAAUAAGUAUUAUUGAGGGCCUAAUAUGUACUAGGCAUUGUGCUAGAGGUGGAGAUGUACUGAUGACUAGGCAGAUAUGGCCUUUGCUCUCCUGGCGCUUACAAAAAAAUCAGGAGUACCAAAGAUUAAACAAAGCCAGGGGCAGUGGCAGACACUUGUAAUCAUAGCACUUUGGGAGGCCAGGGUGAGAGGAUCAUUUAGGCUCAGGAGUUCAAGAGUUUGAGACUGGGCAACGUAGGGAGAUCCUAUCUCUACAAAAAAUUUUAAAAAUCAGUUGGUGCUGGGCUUGCUGGCUCACGCUUGUAAUCCCAACACUUUGGGAGGUGGGUAGAUCACCUGAGGUCAGGAGUUCAAGACCAGCCUGGCCAACAUAGUGAAACCCCAUCUAUACUAAAAAUAUAAAAAUUAUCUGGGUGUGGCGACAGGUCCCUGUAAUGCCAGCUACUCAGGAGGCUGAGGGUGAGAAUCACUUGAACCUGGGAGGCAGAGGUUGCAGUGAGCUGCAGUCAUGCCACUGUACUCUAGCCUGGGUGACAGAAUGAGACCCUAUCUCAAAAAAAUUAAAAAAAUAAAAAAAAAAUAAAAAUUAGUUGAGUGUGGUAGUGUCCGUCUGUAGUCCCAGCAACUCAGGAGGUUGGGGCAGGAGGAUCACUUGAGCCCAGGAGUUCAAGGCUGCAGUGAGCUAUAAUUGCACCAUUGCACUCAAGCUCAGGCAACAGAGUGAGACCUUGUCUCAAAAAAAAAAAAAAAAAUUUAAACAAGCGACAGUAAUAUUUCAUUAGAAAUGUGAUGAAUGCUAUGAAGGUGUAGAGGAUGUCUUUAGAAUAUAUAACUGGGAGGGAGACCUUUUGAGUUAAGGCAGGUGCUGGUCAGGAAAGUCCUGAGGAAGUUACAUUUGGAUUGAGAGGGGAAAGAUGAGGAGGAGCAGGCUUGCCUGAGGCAUGGUAGGCAAGAGAGAAGGACUAUAAGAUAACAUCAGGGAGAUGUUAUAGAACAUGUUAAAGGUAUCAGGCUUUAAAUCGAGAGCCCUGGAAAUCCUUUCUACUAUUUUAAGCAGAAAAGAAGAUGAUCUCACUUUUCCUUUUCAGAAAAAUUACCACUCUGGCCAACAUAACAAGGCCCUGUCUACAAAUAAUAAUAAUAAACAUUAGCCAGGCAUGGCAGCUCACACCUGUAGUCCCAGCUACUCAGGAGGCUGAGGCAGGACGAUCACUUAAGCCUGGGAAUUGGAGGCUGCAGUGAGCUGUGAUCACACCCGUCUGGGUGACACAGCUAGACCUUGUCUCAAAAAAAGAAAAAGAGGUCAGGUGUGGGGGCUCAAGCCUGUAAUCCCAGCACUUUGGGAGGCCAAGACAGGCAGAUCACCUGAGGUCAGGAGUUCGAGACCAGCCUGGCCAACAUGGUGAAACCCCGUCUCUACUAAAAAUACAAAAAAAUUAGCCAAGCAUGGUGGCAGGCUCCUGUAAUCCCAGCUACUCAGGAGGCUGAGGCAGGAGAAUCACUUGUGGCUGGGAGGCAGAGGUUGCAGUGAGCCGAGAUCAUGCCAUUGCACUACAGCCUGGGCGAGAAGAGCAAAACUUCAUCUCAAAAAAAAAAAAAAAAGAAAGAAAGAAAAAAAAAAAAGAAAAAAGAAAAAGAAUUAAGGCUGGGCUGGGCUCAGUGGCUCACGCCUGUAAUCCCAGCACUUUGGGAGGCUGAGGCGGGUGGAUCACGAGGUCAGGAGAUCGAGACCAUCCUAGCUAACACAGUGAAACCCCGUCUCUACUAAAACAAACAAACAGAAAAAAAAAAACAAAAAAAUUAGCCAGGCAUGGUGGCAGGCACCUGUAGUCCCAGCCACUCGGGAAGCUGAGGCAGGAGAAUGGCAUGAACCCGGGAGGUGGAGCUUGCAGUGAGCCGAGAUCAUGCCACCGCACCCUAGCCUGGGUGACAGAGCGAGACUGUCUCAAAAAAAUUAAGGCUGCUGUAUGGAGAACGGUGUUGAUGGGCUAAGAAUGAACACCUGCAAAGCUGCUGAGGAGAGGCAGCAACUAGAACUCUUGAUGAGGUUGAGAUGCAACCGGGUACAACCAUUUUAGACAUGUUUUCUAGUUUCUUAUAUAGUCAAAUAUACACUUACCUUGUGAUCCAGUAAUUCUAUUUCUGGGUAUUUAUCCAAGAGAAAUAGAAACACAUGCCCACUGUCCACAAAAAUAGACUUGUACAAAAACUGUUCAUACCAGAUUUACUCAUAAUAGCCCCAAACUGGAAACAACCCAAAUGUCAAUUAACACAAGGAAGAGGCUGGGUGCGGUGGCUCAUGCCUGUAAUCCUGGCACUUUGGGAGGCUGAGGUGUGUGGAUCCCUUGAGCCCAGGAGUUUGAGACUAGCCUGGGCAACAUGAUGAAAACCUGUCUCUACAAACAAUAAUGAUAGUAGGGCCAGGUGCCAUGCCUUAUGCCUGUAAUCCCAGCACUUUGGGAGGCUGAGGCGGGUGGAUUGCUUGAGCCCAAAGAGUUUGAGAUCAGCCCGGACAACGUGGCAAAACCCCAUCUCUACAAAUAAUACAAAAAUUAGCCCGGCCUGGUGGUGCAUGCCUUUGGUCCCAGCUACUCGUGAGGCUGAGGUGGGAAGAUGGCUUCAGCCCGGGAAGUGGAUUAUUAUUAUUUUAAAACAAAAGGAUGAGUAAACAAACUGUGGUAUAUCCAUUCAACAGAAUACUUGGCAGCAAUAAAAAGGAACGAACUUAAUACACGCAAUCAUAUGAAUGACUCUCACAGGCACGUUUAGCAAGAGGAGUCAAGCCCAAAAGAAUAUACACAGUAUGACUUCAUUUUUAUGAGGAUCUAAAACAGACAGCACUAAUUUGUGGUGAUGUGAAUCAGAAAAGCGGUUUCCUGGUGGUAGGUGUCUGUGGGAGGACAACAGGUGAGUCACUGAGAAGGGGCGCGAGGGAAUUUUCUGUAGUGAUAAAAGUGUUCUAUAUAGUGAUUGUGGUAGUCGCUACAUGGGCAUAUUUAUUGGUCAAAAUGCAUUACAUUUUUCACUUUAAAAGUGUGAGUAUGCCUGUAACUCCUGUGCUUUGGGAGGCCAAGGUGGGAGGAUCACUAGAGGCCAGGCAUUGAAGACCAGCCUGAGCAACACAGCAAGAACCCAUCUCUAUAAAAAGUAAUAAAAAAUUUAGCUGAGCAUGGUGACACACACCUCUCAUUCUUGCUACUUGGGAAGCUGAGACGGGAGGAUCAGUUGAGCCCAGGAGUUUGAGGCUGCAACGAGCUAUGAUUAUGCCACUACACCCUAGCCUGGGUGACAGAGCAAGACCCCAACUAUUUAUUUAUUUAUUUACUUAUUUAUUUAUUUAUUUAUUUUGAAACAGAGUCUCACUCUGUCGCCCAGGCUGGAGUGCAGUGGCAUGAUCUUGGCUCACUGUAACCUCCACUCCCGGGUUCAAGUGAUUCUCUACGUCAGCCUCCCAAGUAGCUGGGAUUACAGGCACCCGCCACCACACCCGGCUAAUUUUUGUAUUUUUAGUGGAGACAGGGUCUCACCAUGUUGGUCAGGCUGGCCUUGAACUCCUGACCCCAAAUGAUCCACCUGCCUCGGCCUCCCAAAGUGCUGGGAUUACAGGUGUGAGCCACAACUCUUAAAUAAAGUGUGACUUUUAUUGUAUACGAAUUAUACCACCACAACAAAAAAGAGGCAAAGAGAAUGAAUCUUUGGAGUUUUAGGGGUGUUCUACGGUAUGGCAGUGGAGAAACACAGGAAGAGAAGACAAAGAAAGCAGAUUAGAGACCAGACGAGUUGCUUAUACAUUGCAUGAGAGGCAGGGAAGAGUCAGAACUAACACUUAGGUUUCUGGCUGGGGCAGCUAAGUGACUGGUGGUGUUAUUACCGACUUGGGGGAAAACUGGGAAAGGGUCAGGUCCAUAUAGGGUGUUGGUUGGGUCAAGGGAGGAAUGAGGAGGCUAAAUUUUGACAUGUCAGCCUGAAAUACCCAGGAGAUAUUACGUGGGCCCAUUAUGCCACACUCAUCCUGUUUCUCUCUUGCCUUGCUGGUUUCUUCAUUACAGUAUCAGAUUUUCCAGGAUUCAUUCCUUGGCUCUUCUCAUCCUCCACAGCAAUGGUUCUCAAUAAGUAACACUUCACCUCCACUCCGCAGAGGGUUUGGGGGAAAUGACUGCAGUGUUUUUGGUUGAGGGGAGAUGUGUGCUAUUAAGAGUCCAUGGUGGCAGGGCGCAGUGGCUCAUGCCUGUAAUCCCAGCACUUUGGCAGGCUGAGGCAGGAGGAUCACCUGAGGUCAGGGGUUCAAGAUGAGCCUGGCCAACAUGGUGAAACCCUGUCUCUACUAAAAAUACAAAAAUCAGCUGGGUGUGGUGGCAUGAGUUUGUAAUCUCAGCUACCUGGGGGGCUGAGACAGGAGAAUUGCUUGAACCCAGGAGGUGAAGGUUGCAGUGAGCCAAGAACGUACCACUGCACUCCAGACUGGGUGACAGAGCAAGACUCUGUCAAAAAAAAAAAAAAAGUCAGUGGCUAGAAGUUGUGGAUGCUGGACAGAGUUAAUUCCACAAAAUGAGGAAUUCCUCCCUCACUGGACAUUCACACAGAACUUGACUGAGAGUUGUUCUCCAUUCCAGAAAAAUUAUGUCUUCAGCAUAACUACAGUUCUUGAUGUGUGAGUAAUCAAUUCAUCACUGCUGUGACUAUUUAUAGUAGUGAUAGUACACAUAGGUGUCAAGACCUAGCUACCCCACUGCAUCUUCUAGUGUAGACCUCUUCCAAACAUUUACAUAAUGAAAGACAUUUUAUUUUAUUAUGGUUACUUUUAUUUCUCUUUUAUAUCAGAGAUGUCAAUAUGUAUGUAUUGUGAAAUUAUGUCUUAGGUAAAUUAAGACAUAAUUAUCCAUGAUUAUCAUGUUGGGAUAGAAAGAGGUGGUGUUACAAAACAUUUGUUAUCAAAAGGGGUAUAGGAUAUAAUAUGGUUAAGAAAAACAGUUCUGUAAUGUAGCGGGCUCUGGAAGCAAAUCAUUUGAGUGUUUGUUUGUUUGUUUGUCUGUUUUAUCAUUUACUAUUUUAAUAUGACAUUGAGCAAGUUAAUUACCCCCAUCUGCAAAGUGGGGAUAAUAUUUCUACCUCACAUGGCUAUGUGAAAGCAACAAUUAAUAAUUAAUUAAUAUUUGUGAAGCACUUAGAACAGAGCCUGACUGGCACAUAUUAACUUUCAAAUACAUUUUAGUUAAAUAAGAUAAAUACACUUGGCUGUGCGUGGUGGCUCACACCUGUAAUCCCAGCACUUUGGGAGGCCGAGGCAGGCGGAUCACCUGAGCUCAGGAGUUGGAGACCAGCCUGGGCAACAUGGUGAAACCCCAUCUCUACAAAAAAUACAAAAAGUAGCCAGGUGCAGUGACUUGCGGCUGUAGUCUCAGCUACUUGAGGCUGAGGUGGGAGGAUCACUUGAGCCCAGGAGGUGGAGGUUGCAGUGAGCCGAGAUCGUGCCACUGCACUCCAGCCAGGGUGACAGAGCAAGACCUUGUUAAAAUAAAUAAUAAAUAAAUAAAUAAAUUCUCUCCAGGAACUCAUAUCCACGUUCAUGUUUAUACAUUACUGUGAAAAAAUUUUAAAAUUUAAAAAUAUUAUGCAUGAGCCUUGCCUAAAAAAAAUACCUAUAUAUCUCACAAUGCUGUUUGGUAAAGCCUUGGGAGGAAAACAAAAUCUUUUCUUCCAAGUACAUAAUUUCCAAAGUAUUAGGCUCAUCAUUUGCCCUUCUCAGUAAGAGAAGGAGGAGAAGUUAGAGAACAUCUUUGUCCUGAUAACUUCAAAAGCCACAGGAACAAAGACAAAUGGAGAAAAAGGGCUUAUUUAAAAUUAAAUUUGUACAGCGUGUUUCUCUUUACAGGACCUUGUUUCUGGUUCCAUUCCUAAUGGAUUGAUGCAAGUAAAAUGAAAAUGACAACACUAGCAGUUUCAUUUAUUUAUUUAUUGAGAAAAGGUCUCACUCUGUCACCCAGACUGGAGUGCAGUAGCAUUAUCUUGGCUUACUGCAACCUACCCCCUGCCCCAGCCUCAAGCGAUCCUCCCACCUCAGCCUCCUGAGUAGCUGGGAUUACAGAUGCACACCACCACACCUGGCUAACUUUUGUAUUUUUAGUAGAGAUGGGGUUUUGCCAUGUUGCCCAGGCUAGUCUCGAACUCCUGAGCUCCAGCAAUCCAUUUGCCUCGGUCUGGCAGAUUUAAAGCCAAAUACAAUAUGAAGCCUGUUUCCCUCCGCACUGAUAACCCACAAAUGUAACCAUAAAUGUAACCCUCCAGCCUGAGACCCCCUCCUCUCCCCCUCCCCAGCUCCUCUCUCCAUUCUCAGGUGAAGCUUUACAUUUUCAAAGAAACAUUCUUUGUUGCAUAAUCAAUGUUGUGUUCCUUUGUUUUACACUUUCUUAGAGCAACAUUCC